GGGCGGUUAGCUCAGGGGUAGAGCACUCGCCUUACAAGCGAGGGGUCACUGGUUCGAACCCAGUACCGCCCA
rnacentral:tRNA from 1 species